AAUAUUGGACAAUGGGCGCAAGACUGAUCCAGCCAUGCCGCGUGAGUGAUGAAGGCCCUAGGGUUGUAAAGCUCUUUCAACGGUGAAGAUAAUGACGGUAACCGUAGAAGAAGCUCCGGCUAACUUCGUCUCAGCAGCCGCGGUAAUACGAAGGGGGCUGUGGUUGUUCGGAAUUACUGGGCGUAAGGCGCAAUUAGGCGGAUUGGUCAGUUAGGGGUGAAAUCCCAGGGCUCAACCCUGGAACUGCCUUUAAUACUGCCGGUCUAGAGUUCGAGAGAGGUGAGUGGAAUUCCGAGUGUAGAGGUGAAAUUCGUAGAUAUUCGGAGGAACACCAGUGGCGAAGGCGGCUCACUGGCUCGAUACUGACGCUGAGGUGCGAAAGCGUGGGGAGCAAACAG
rnacentral:rRNA from 1 species